rnacentral:rRNA from 1 species
CAGCCGCCGCGGUAAUACGUAGGGUGCGAGCGUUAAUCGGAUUUACUGGGCGUAAAGCGUGCGCAGGCGGCCCGUUAAGACAGGUGUGAAAUCCCUGGGCUCAACCUAGGAAUUGCGCUUGUGACUGGCGGGCUCGAGUACGGUAGAGGGGGGUGGAAUUCCUGGUGUAGCAGUGAAAUGCGUAGAGAUCAGGAGGAACACCGAUGGCGAAGGCAGCCCCCUGGGCCUGUACUGACGCUCAUGCACGAAAGCGUGGGGAGCAAACAGGAUUAGAUACCCUGGUAGUCCACGCCCUAAACGAUGGGUACUAGCCGUUUGGUGCGCGAAAGCGCUGAGUGGCGAAGCUAACGCGUGAAGUACCCCGCCUGGGGAGUACGGCCGCAAGGUUGAAACUUAGAGGAAUUGGCGGG